rnacentral:rRNA from 1 species
UACGAAGGGGGCUAGCGUUGCUCGGAAUCACUGGGCGUAAAGCGCACGUAGGCGGAUUGCUAAGUCAGGGGGUGAAAUCCUGGAGCUCAACUCCAGAACUGCCUUUGAUACUGGCGAUCUCGAGUCCGGGAGAGGUGAGUGGAACUGCGAGUGUAGAGGUGAAAUUCGUAGAUAUUCGCAAGAACACCAGUGGCGAAGGCGGCUCACUGGCCCGGUACUGACGCUGAGGUGCGAAAGCGUGGGGAGCAAACAGG